rnacentral:lncRNA from 1 species
GACUAACCAAAAUUUAAAAGACAUACAACUUACAUAUAACUAAAGUGACAAGAUUGUGAGCACCCAACUCACUAUCAUAAACCACACAUGCAGUUGAGGUUUAACCUGCCACUAACGGAAACAAUUGAUUAUUGUAGUUUAUGGCGCUAACAUUCAUAGUGACUUACAGAAUGCAUAUAGCCAGAGAGACCAACCGUCACGAUAUGCCUUCUUUGUUCGCGAAAUCUAGGAGCACAUGAAAGGACAAAGCAUUAGUAUUACUCAUAUUCAUCGUUGUUAAAAUGCUCUUACUCAUUAUUUGACAACUUUGGCACAACUCAAAAAUAGGCGGCCGGAUGGAUAAGGUUUGCCUGAGAUGAUUUUGAAGCUAUAUGCUUGAAAGAUUGCAACCCAUACUUUUGAGUGAUACAUAUUCUGGAAAAACAUGCAUACACACUUACACGGUGCAUAUUUAGUUCCCUACAAUUUCUUUACAAAAAAUGUUCUCGUAAUUUACUAUGUGGCAUUAACAUGCAUAUUGGAUUACAUGGUACAAAUUUAGUACAUAAAAAAUUAUAGCAAAGGAACAUGAUUUUAGGCAUCGAUUUUACAGGGGCACUUGAUGGAACUAAGUUAAGUUGCGCCUAAAACCGAACAUAAGAAAAACUAGCCAAGGAAACAAUAAGACUAAUAACAUAACCCCCCCCCCCCCANNNNNNNNNNNNNNNNNNNNNNNNNNNNNNNNNNNNNNNNNNNNNNNNNNNNNNNNNNNNNNNNNNNNNNNNNNNNNNNNNNNNNNNNNNNNNNNNNNNNNNNNNNNNNNNNNNNNNNNNNNNNNNNUCUCAAUGCUCGUGCCACAUGUUGAUGUUCCCAUCCUUCACGCACCGAAGGACGAGGUGAUCCCUAUUAUGAAUAUUUUUUCUUUGGUUGUGGAAUACAUGAUUCUUGCAUAAAGAUUAAAGCAAUGGCAAAUUUGUGGUCAAUGCACAGUUAUGCGAUGUUAUCUUUACGUUGAGUACAUUGCUGCCACAAUCAUGGUGUACAAAUUGGCAUCAGAGCCAUUACCAACCAUAGGAGCCCCUUUGCUUGAUCAAAACUUGGUCGUUGUUCAGUCUAAAGAACUAUAUUUUGAGUCUAGUUAUCGACGAGUAGGAAUUAUUAUUAUUCCUUAUCCCUAUCGUCUCUCUAGUGAGAAAGUGUGACGUAAGUGUUGUGAUUCUACUCCUCUUACCUUUCAAAGUUUUUUAGAAUCAAGCGGGUAUUUUGGAAUCGUAAGAUAUUGGUAUGGCAGAAUUCUAUUAUUGGUGCCUCUAGACUAUUUGGGGUAGUGGAGGUGUUCUAGGGAGUUGAGAUGAAAGGUGUUCCUAUCACAUUUGCUAUCGUUUCUGUUUUUACUACAUGAGGAUGCAGAUUUUCGAAUUCGCUUCAAUACUAUUCGCCGGGAUAGGAGUUUGGCGUCACCCAGUUCUGGGGAGAACGUCUAGAUGUACUACAAUAGGUGGACGAGUUUCUGAGGUUUUUGGUUAUGUGUCCACAUAUGCGAUACAUUGUAGCGUAGUUUCAUAUUAGGUUGCCUGUGUGUGAAGAUUUUGCUCUUUGUAUCCGUUGGGACGGAUUGCAUAACUAGAAAUUUUGGAAUUUCAUAGGUGGAAAUUCAAGUAGUUACCUAGGUUUAUCCUUUCGGUAAAUGCAUGAUAUGAGCUUGGGGUUGACAUCUAGUGAUUCAUUUGUUCACGGUCUUUCUUAUACAUGACAGUCUCAGUAUGCUUUAUCAAUACAUGUAGUUCGCUACGCCUAGGGAGCAUAUUCGGGCGUCAUUGGACAACCGAUGUAAGAUUGAGCCCGUGAAGAUCUCACCACAAAAAUGUUGACCGGAAUCUCUGUCGUGUUUUUGUUUCCGGCCUUAUUUGCAAUCCCAACCCUUUGUUUUAUUGUAGUUAUGGAGUUUGAGUUGCUUCUACGUCAAGUGUUGGUUCCAUACAUUUUAUAAAUGAUGUUCUCAUAUUUAAUUGGGAACACAAAUACUUUUGAUCAAUCCGAAUUUUCAUGGCAAUUCUUUCUCGACUAGUGUGCUUCUCUUCAAUAAUCUAAUCAUUUUAAAUAUUUGCAAGACUAGUCCUUGUUUUUGUCAACGGUAUUUGUUAGAGCAUAUUUCUCCAUAUGUGGUUUUGGUAAUUGAUGACAAUCCCUAUGAACUAAUGGUUGCCUUAAGUUAUAUUCGAAGGAUUUGUCCAUAGGCAAUUCUUGAAGUCCAUCUGUUAGUUUCAAGGAGUUUAUAUGAUGACCAAGGUGGUAUUCAAAGUAUUAUCCAAAGAUUGGUCAUAAAGACACAAGGUUGAUCAAGACUAAGCAGAGAGUAAAUCAAGAUGAUCAGCACACAAAGCGUACAAGAUGUACCGAGAAGGAUCAACUGAUCCCAUGGUAUGGUCAGCAUUGUCCAUAACGCUUUUGUGUACUAACCCAUGUCUUCAUGAGAGUUCUAUGUGGGGUUAGGUGUGUUUCCAUGGGUUUGCGUCAAGAGGAAGAUCUCAUUCAACCUAUGAAGGAUGACAUCAAGUGGUGAUCGUCAUCAAGAUUGCGGUGUGCAAGUUCAAGUGGAGCAUCACGAAGAUAUCAUGCUUGAAGCUUGUCGUCCAUUGUGGUGGCAAUGGACUUGUGAAGAAUGUGAUCAAGAGUGUCUCACGCAUAGUGAGCAUGGGGGAGCAAUCAAGAAAGGUGGUCCAUCUUGAGAAAGCCAAGAUCAUCAUCAUCUAGUCCUGAGAGGACACCUUCUGACCGAGGAACACCUAGCUCCUAUGGCUUGCCCAAAUCAGCUACCAGGUCCAGAAGGAAGAUCAAUUCUAAUGAAGAAUAUGUUGAAUUUAUCCCAGAGGAAUCUAUUCCCCGGAAGCAGAAGGUGAAGACCACGGUAAGAAAGAGUGUGAGGAAGGAAUAUGCGUGCCCUGCUCAUAUUAAAGCUCGAGAAUCUAGUGUUGGAAAUAUGUCCUAGAGGCAAUAAUAAAGUGCUUAUUAUUAUAUUUCCUAGUUCAUUAUAAUUGUCUACUAUUCAUGCUAUAAUUGUAUUAACUAGAAACCGUAAUACAUGUGUGAAUAUAUAGAUUACAAUGUGUCCCUAGUUAGCCUCUAGUUGGCUAGCUCAUUGAUCAAUAGAUGAUCAUGGUUUCCUGAUCAUGGACAUUGGAUGUCAUCGACAACGUGAUCACAUCAUUAGGAGAAUGAUGUGAUGGACAAGACCCAAUCCUAAGCAUAUCACUAGAUCAUAUUGUUCGUGUGCUAAAGCUUUUCUAAUAUCAAGUAUCAUUCCUUAGGCCGUGAGAUUGUGCAACUCCCGGAUACCGUAGGAGUGAUUUGGGUGUAUCAAACGUCACAACGUAACCGGGUGAUUAUAAAGGUGCACUAUAUGUAUCUCCGAAAGUGUUUGUUGGGUUGAUACGAAUCGAGACUCGGAUUUGUCACUUCGUGUUACAGAGAGGUAUCUCUGGGCCCACUCGGUAAUCCAUCAUCAUAAUGAGCUCAAUGUGACUAAGGAGUUAGCCACGGGAUGAUGUGUUAUGGAACGAGUAAAGAGACUUGCCGGCAACGAGAUUGAACAAGGUAUAGGGAUACCAACGAUCGAAUCUCGGGCAAGUGUCAUACUGGUAGACAAAGGGAAUUGCAUACAGGAUUGAUUGAAUCCCCGACAUCGUGGUUCAUCCAAUGAGAUCAUAGCAGAACAUGCGGGAACCAACAUGGAUAUCCAGACCCCGUUGUUGGUUAUUGACCGGAGAGGUGUCUCGGUCAUGUCUGUAUGGUUCCCGAACCCGUAGGGUCUACACACUUAAGGUUCGAUGACGCUAGGGUUGUAAUAGGAAUAGUAUGUGGUUACCGAAGGUUGUUUGGAGUCUCGGAUGAGAUCCCGGACGUGACGAGGAGCUCCGGAAUGGUCCGGAGGUAAAGAUUCAUAUAUAGGAAGUGGAGAUUUGAUCGCCGGAAGUGUUUCAGGAAACACCGGUAAUGUACCGGGACCACCGGAAGGGUUCCAGGGGUCCACCGGGAGGGGCCACCAGCCCCAAGAGGCUACAUGUGCCAAACGUGGAUGGGAACCAGCCCCUAGGUGGGCUGGUGCACCACCACUAAGGGCCCAAGGCGUAUAAGAGAGCUAAGGGGGGCAAACCCUAGGUGUGGGGGCUGCUUUGGGCGCCAAGCCCACCCUAGGGCGCCACCCCCUCCUCCUCCUUGGCCGCCGCACCUCCUAGGGUUUCCCUAUGGGUGGAAGGCCCUCCUCCUCCUCCCUCCUAUAUAUAGUGGAGGGUUUUGGGGCUGCAAACACACAAUUUCACCUCUCCCUCGGCGCAGCCCUACCUCUCGUCCUCCGCGGUGCUUGGCGAAGCCUUGCCGGAGAAUUACAUAGCUCCAAUGUCACAACGCCAUCGUGCUGGCGAAGCUCUCCCUCAAACUCUCCUCUCUCCUUGCUGGAUCAAGGCAUAGGAGACGUCACCGGGCUGCACGUGUGUUGAACGCGGACGCGUCGUUGUUCGGCGCUUAGGUUGGAAUCUUCCGUGAUCUGAAUCGCUACGAGUAUGAAUCCAUCAACCGCAUUCUAGUAUCGCUUCCGCUUAGCGAUCUUCAAAGGUAUGAAGAUGAUCUACCCCUUUGCUCAUUGCUGGUUUCUCCUAGAUAGAUCCUUGUGUGACGUAGGAAUUUUUUUUUUGAAUUACUACUACGUUCCCCAGCACUGGCAUCUGAGCCAGGUUCUAUGCGUAGAUUCUAUGCACGAGUAGAACACUAAAGUUGUGGGCGAUGAUUUUGUCAAUUUCUUGUCGUUACUAGUCUUAUCUUGAUUCGGCGACAUCGUGGGAUGAAGCGCCCCGGACCGACUUUACACGUACUCUUACGUGAGACUGGUUCCACCAACCGACAUGCACUUGUUGCAUAAGGUAGUUAGCGGGUGUCUAUCUCUCCCACUUUAGUCGGAUCGGAUUCGAUGAAGAGGUUCCUUAUGAAGGGUAAAUUGCAUCGGCAUAUCAACGUUGUGGCUGUCACGUAGGUAAGAAACGUUCUUGCUAGAAACCCAAACCAGCCACGUAAAACUUGCAACAACAAUUAGAGGACGUCUAACUUGUUUUUCCAGGGUAUGCUAUGUGAUGUGAUAUGGACAAGACGAUGUGGUGUUACAUAUGUGAUGUAUGAGAUUCAUCAUUUUCUUGUAGUAGGAUUCACGACUUGCAUGUUGAUGAGUAUGACAUCCGACACGAGCCAUAGGAGCUGUCUUAGUUUAUUGUAUGAGAUGCAACACCAUGUGAUUACUUUACUUUAUUGCUAACCGUUAGCUAUAGUAGUAGAAGUAAUAGUUGGCGAGACGACUUCGCAAAGACACAAUGAUGAUCAUACCUUGCCCCGUAGAUGGAGAUCAAAGGAGCAAGAUGAUAUUGGCCAUAUCAUGUCACUAUAUGAUUGCAUGUGAUGUUUAUCAUGUUUUUCAUCUUAUUGCUUAGAACGACGGUAGAAAUAAGAUGAUCCCUCAUUAAAAUUUCGAGAUAAAUAUUCCCCUAAGUGUGCACCGUUGCGAAGGAUCGUUGUGUCGAAGCACCACGUGAUCAUCGGGUGUGAUAGAUUCUAACGUUCGCAUACAAUGGGUGUAAGCCAGAUUUACACAUGCAGAACACUUAGGUUGACUCGACAAGCCUAGCAUGUACAAACAUGGCCUCGGAAUACGAGAGACUGAAAGGUCGAACAUGAGUCAUAUGGUUGAUACGAUCAGCAUGGAGAUGCUCACCAUUGAUGACUAGUCCGUCUCACGUGAUGAUCGGACAUGGGCUAGUAGACGUGGAUCAUGUAAAACUUGAAUGACUAGAGGGAUGUCUAUCUGAGUGGGAGUUCAUUAAAUAAUUUGAUUAGAUAAACUUAAUUAUCAUGAACUUAGUCUAAAAUUGUCUUUAAAAAUAUUGUAGAUCCAAUGGCCAACGCAAAUGGCUAACGCAAAUGUCCCAUUCAACUUCAACGUGUUCCUAGAGAAAACCAAGCUGAAAGACGAUGGGAGCAAGUAUGCGACCGGGCUCGUAAUUUAAAGCUCACCCUCAUGGCUUCCAAGAAGGCAUAUGUCCUUGAUGCGCCGCUAGGUGACCCUCCCGUUCCCGCGGCAACCCAGGACGUUCGGAAUGCCUCGCAGUCGUGAGUGAUGACUAUUCUCUGGUUCAGUGCAGCAUGCUUUACAGUUUAGAACCGGGGCUCCGAAGGCGUUUUGAGCAACAUGGAGCAUAUGAUAUGUUCGAGGAGCUGAAACUAGUUUUUCAAGCUCAUUCCCGCGUCGAGAGAUAUGAAGUCUCCGACAAGUUCUUCAGUUGUAAGAUGGAGGGGAAUAGUUCUGUCAGUGAGCACAUACUCAGAAUGUAUGGGUUGCACAACCGCUUGACUCAGCUGGGAGUUGAACUUCUGGAUGACGCGGUCAUUGACAGAAUCCUCCAGUUGCUUCCACCUAGAUAUAUGAACUAGGUGAUGAAACCGCAUCAAGUGCACACAUGACAAGGCAAGAGAUCUACGGCUACAAUCUACAACUCGCAUGACAAUCUUCAGAUGAACUAUGAAUAACGGCGGUGACCUAAAAAUGAUAAUGGGGACUUACAAAGAUCCGUAGCAAAAGAGGGUUCUGGUCGACCGUGCUUGGGAGAUCUCCGCUAUCAACAGAGAUGAAUUCCGGUGAUGGCUGGAAAGAAAUGAAGUCGCUUGGAGGAGCGACACCGACGGAGUUCGAGAGAGUAUUGCGAGCGAGAGGAAGAAGAAGAAGUGGAAAAGUAAACCUGGUCGGUCUACAUAUAAUAAUAAGACACAAAGCAGUGCAGUAAAAAUGGAGUAAUUUGUGGCAAAACGAAUGCCUCGAUUUUCACGCCUGACAGAGAUUUGAACACUAUUGGGGAAGAUUCACUAUGAUGACUAGAUGACGCCAGCGGCGACUAGGAUGGAGUCUUGACCAUGAUAGCUGAAGAAAAUACCAAGUCUUGAACUAGACACACGACCCGACAAAAUAUUGACCCGGGAAAAUAUGUUCCUGCGAGGGAGAUUGCCACCUCAAAAGGCGACUCGUGUUGAUCCCCACCUUUGAGGGUUUUCUCUCUUUUUCAGGAUGAAGUUUGACAUGAAUAAAUUAAAAUUAAACUAGAGGCUAAUGUUGGCGAUAUACCCCAUGGGUUAAACCGCCAUGGGGAUAGCCCGCCUGGAUUAUACCUUGGGGAAGGAGGCCCUGGUCGCAAAGGUCCAAGGGGCGACUCACCAAGAGGCCGGCUCAAGCCCAUCACAUGGAGGCCGGCUCAUCAAAGGAAACGUGGAGAUUCUACCCCUCCCAAGUUUCACAGCCCUAGAUUAUUGCUUGUAGCUAGUUGCAUCAGUGAGCAUUCAUGCAUGCAUUUAAAUUCUUUUAAAUCUGAAAUGGGGAAGUGAUCAAGCCUGAGGAACCAAAUUUUGGAAAAUAGGCAAUAUAAAAAAUUGCUUCAAAAUGAUCCAAGAAAAUGUUCCAAAUAUUCCGUGAAAAUAUUGGCAUGAGGUAAAAUUCAAAUAAAUAAUUUUGGAAUAACAGAAGCAUUUAUUUUGGGGUUUUUGAACUGAAACAAUACUUAUUUGAGUUGGAUUUAAUUCUACUACAAGAGAAUUAUAAUUCCAAUAAUUCUGAAAAUUGGUGAGUGCUUCUCAAUAUAUUUUUUCAGACCACAUAAAUAUUUUAAGAAGGUUUUAAAAUGAUUUGGUUUGUAAAUCAAAUCAAAAUAUAUUAAAAAACAAAUUAGAAAAACAGAAUGUAAAACAAAAAGAAAGAAGGAAAGAAACUCUUACCGGACGCCGGCCCAGCCCACCAGGGGUGAAGGGGUCAUCUUCAACCUCUGCGAGUAAGCAGAGGCGAGAUGAGCACGGCACCAAGCGUGCCACCUCCUGCUUCGCGCUGGAGGCCACUCCGCCGUCCUUAUCCAGAGCCUUGGAGAAGGCCUGGUCGCCUCUUCCCUUUCCCUUCGCCUCUAGUUCUCUCCCUCCCCAUCUCUUUCCCUCUGGCUCGAUCUCUCUCUUCCUCGCCUGAGAGCGUCGCCGUACGCCACCGCAGCCAUAGCCACCUACGAGGGCCUCCUUCGUGUCCUCCAGCUACCCCAUCAAGCACCCCGUCCUCCAGCAGAAGGAAUCGGGCCCGGAGGUCUUGAAUCGACGCCAUCUUCCUCUCCAUCGCCC